ACGGGUGCGCGCGGAAGAGCGCCGCAGAAGCAGCACGGGAGCGAAAUGGCGUAGCGCGCUUUCCAUUGCCGCAGCGCAACGGGGCCAGGCUCCCUGAGCCCCUCCGAUCCUGGCCGGUUUAACUCCUAUGAACGAACACGAUGAAAAUGCAUCUGCAAAACCGUUCCGGUCCAUUCAACCCAGCACCGGACCGUGGGAAACGUGCCCUUUAUAUUUCAUCUCAAGAAGAGAACAGAACAGUCACAUCAUGUUUAAUAUAACAUAAAGCAUUCAUGAUCAGAUGAGAGACCAAACUGAUAUGGCUCUUCAAACUACCCUUGAUCCAGAUCAACUGCCCUUCCACAAGCAUUAUUUCAGGGAAGUGUUCGAUCAACAUACCAACUGUUACCGCUUCGUGAACAUGCCAUUUCUGCACCUGGAAGAUGAUAGUUGAAGUGUUUAUUACAUUGAGAGAAACUUAAAAUGUUUCCAAAAAAGUUACUUUUAUUGUGCCAUAGCAUGUACAGAUUAAUGAAUUGAUUAUGUUUGAUAAAAAUAUUUAUGUGGGUGCAGGUUGUGUUAAUAGGUUGUAAAAAUGCAACUUUAAAGAGUGCACUUGCUUUGCAGGUAAAAUGCAAGCAACCUGCAUUUCAGCUCAAAUAGUUUGACCUAACUGUUUCAUUACCUGCAGAUGAAGUGCCUAGUCUUUUUAAACUGCGUUCUCAAGUCCAUUACCAAGGCUUAGCUUUAAACCUACAGUAAAUCACUGCAUGGUCAUUCAGUUUUUUAAAGGCAUUUAGGUUUUGAGACAAACUGUAGAUAAAAGGCUGUUCUCUUAAUUCCAAACUCAUAAUGGUGCUUCAGCAAAAUCAUAAACCUUACUAUCAUGUACUUUACAUGUACCGACAAAAGAAGACAAAUAGUGGCAUUGACAUAAUCCAUGCAUACUUUAUAAAUUACACAAAUAAAUACCAUUAAUGUGAUGCAAAGAUAAAAAGAUGUAUUUUACUACCUCACAUAAGCAAACAAAUUACCACAGCUCAGACACAGCCACUAUUCUGAUCAUCAGUAUUCUUCGCAGUUAUUUUUAAACACAACAGUUCUUAUCUGUUAAAUGGUCAAGGAAUAUGAUGCCUGUUUGCAUUUAAGAAUGAAAGUUUGAUUGAAUUAUUUUAUCAGUGAUUCAGGGAAUACAUAUCGCACUAAGAUCAUAGGGACCUUAUAUAGUUCAUAGGUUGUACUAAUUACCAGUAUGAGAUUAUGCUGUGAGGUUAACAUUGUGUCGUAUUUUCAUCCAAGUAGUUUUAUCAUAGUAAGUAGCAUUAUGCCAAAUAAAAGUUGGUUAGGCCCCAAAGUAUGUUAAAAUAGGGAAACCUAUUCAAUCUGAUUUUUUUUAAGGUGUAAGCCCAGAGUUUGUGUCUUGAGUAUUUGAAGCAGAUUAGCCUGCGCUUAGCUAAACUAGCUAGCUAAUCUUUAUUAAAAGUAAUUUUAGCCCAGGAAAUGAUUUAAUUUGUGCUGAGACAACCCAAAUGCUUCCUGGUUUAAAGUUAUGUUAUUUCAUUUCUAUAGCUUGGACUAGUACAAAUAAGAGUGUUAUGUGAACCCUUUCUUUUUAUUAAAGGUGUCAGUCUCGGUGGGCGUUAGUGUAGUCAGGCCACAGUGUGGGAAAUGUGCAAUAUUUGUUUCUUUCCUUCCUGUCUUGUUUUGAGAUGAAUAUGUAUAUUGUACAAACAAGUGACAAGUUGUUCGCAAAAACAACAAAAUCACCAAUGUCUUCCAUUAAAUGAUGUAUAGUUUCAUCCGCUUGCUUUAAGGUGGCGGGAUUUGUAGUGCCAGCAUAAACAUGGCCAUGCAUGUACGGUAGCGAUGCUUGCUGAGUUUAAUAGUCGUAGUGACAUUCAGUAUAUGCUAUAAAGUUGUUUUAGAAAACAAAUUAGGCAGACGAUGAUUUAGUUAGUAACAAGCAUGGAUGCAGCAUCUAUACCUUGAUAGACUCAAACUGAAAGCUUUGUCUGAGAGAAGUUAAUUUAUUUUCCUUUUUUCAUUGUUUAUUUUAAUCAUUGUUAGUUACUAAUAAUAUAUUGUAGCAGCCUGAAGAUUAGGAAAAAAAUGAUGGUCGGUACUAAUAUGUGGCUAGCCAUGCUAAAUGCUCAUUUAUGUUUCAUAAGCACUGUGUGAGUUUGUCCUAGUUUGUUCUGUGCAAAAUGAAGUUCUGGGCUAAAAAUAGCACACUCAGAUCAAAAUGCAUGUCUGUAAUGAUAAAAUUUUAUUUAGGGAGAAAAACUGCACUCAGCAGCUUAGACGACUUUACAGCUUCAUUCUACGCUAUAUACCAGUUUCAAAAGAAGUCUUUUGCUUAAACAGAAUCCAAUUUUUUUAUUUGAUCAUGUUUUACCCAUUCUCAAACCGAUCAACACCGUAUCCCCUUCGAAAUUGGAAAGGGUAACUAACAAAUGUGUUUGUAUAACUCAUACCUCUGUUGCGUUCUCCAUCAGGUAAAUUCGUCUCAAACUAAUGCUGUGGGUAUUUAUUAAAAGUAGCAGAAUUUCUAGAUUUUAAAAUAAGGUGUAAAAUAGAAAAUGGCAUAAAGCAAUUAUCAAAGCAUUGUAAUGUAGAUAAAUACCUCAAUGACUGGAAUGCAAACUAUAUUUUUUAAAAAAUACUCUAAGAUAUGCAAGCCAUAAUGUGUAUUAAAUUCAUUAUUUAGAAGCAAUAAUUGUAUGCAUGAAUUACAAUGUCAAACAGUGGUGUUUGUAAAAUAUAACUCUGUAGCAUAUAUGUAAGAUUGAUAUGUGAUCUCGUACAUCCCAGUGCUCAUACUAAAUAGUUCUUAGUUCACAUCUCUAGCUAUGAACUGGCUACAAACAGCCUUGUUUCAUUACUCAUUGACACCAAAUUAAUUUGUUUCUGUGGCAAUGACAUUUAAGAGUAUGGCUGACAUUUACAGUAUUAAAAUGAGACUAUUUGUUUUUUUAAACUGAUUGAAAAAUUGAUGAAAAGCCUAUAUAUGCAGGGCCUGUGCCCUUUAAUUGACCCUAUAUGUUUACAUCAUUGUGGAAUGCACAUAAACUGUAAAUUUGUUUGCAGCUCAUUUACAUUAACAGCAAUAGAAGCAGCGUCCUAUAGCAGUUUGUCACACUGAAGAUGUAUUAACUUCAUGAAUGCUAGAUAAACUGAAUACUCUCCACAACACAUAAAACAGGACUGUGUUGGGUUUUAUUGUGGAAUCAUUUUAAGUAUUAUGAUUACAAAUGCGAAAAAACAUUUGCUGAUGCAUGGUAUAAGUGGAUAAGAAAUGUUUUGUGCUGCAUGCAAUAAUUGAGCUUUGCUUAAAAAUAUUUACACAGAAACGUGGUAUGAAAAAAAUCAAAGAGUGAACCAUUGUUGUGAUUAUUUUUAAAUGCAUGAAAUCCCAAAGGUUUAUCUCUACUGUACAUUAUUUACAGAUAAGUAUAUUGCAUCUUUAAAAGGUUACUUUUUUGUAUAUUGUAUAAUGAAAUUGUAAUGAUCUGUGAUUAUAGAGGCAAAAUAUGAUUAAGUUUUAGCAGAGCCUGACAAUUGUUUGGUUUUAAUGAGGGAAAUAUUUAAAUUUGAGUAGUCCCAUUUCAUUGCAGAUAAUGCAGAACAAAAGUUUGUGUAAUUUGCUAACCUGCUAGUGAUUGGGUUGCCGAUUUGCCUCGGAAUGUGAAACUCUAUGCUUGUCUGAUCUAUGCACUAAAAAUGUGUCCUGCAUGAUUUUGUACAAAAUUCUAUAUCAACAUUUUAGCAAUAAAAAAGCAGCAUGGUGCCAAUCAUAAA